CAUGCUGGAGCCAAUCUGGACUCUGGAUUUCUUCUAUUGUCCGUUUUCCCAGUACCUCAGUUUCACCAUUUGUCCUGGGAGAAUGCUGCCAGGCUCAUCAGCCACCAUGACCCACCACACUCUCUGCUGUGACAGGCUGUUUGCUAACUGGUAACGAGACCAACUGAUCGUGGACUGGAGCCUCAGAAAGGUUGGAAUGGAAUCCAGGACCUGGUGCAAGCUAGACAAAUGUGCUCGGCUGAGUCCCAUCCCCACCCCACUGGGCAGCUUUGCUGGAGGGGUCUUGUGUUACACUGGAGACUGGCAGGGUGUAGAAGGACACCGUGGAAGACAACCAGCUCUUGACAGACGGUGACCUGGGGGAGAAGGUAUGGCCCUGUGGCAGCCUUGACACAUGCUAACUAGUGCAUGACUUCUGUUCUAUAGCCAAAGGUGACUGAAAUCUGUGUUCUAUUCUUCUGCAUGAGUUUCACUCACUGAUGUGACAUAGGCCCCAGUACAGGAGAAUGCCAGGACCAGGAAGUGGGAGUGGGUGGGUUGGGGAGCAGGGCGGGGGAAGGGUAUAGGGGACUUUCGGGAUAGCAUUUGAAAUGUAAAUGAAGAAAAUAUCUAAUAAAAAAAUGAAAUGUAAAAUAAAGAGAGAGAGAGGGGAGAGAGAGAGAGAGAGAGAGGUGGCCGGCAGCAGCCCAGUUUUGUGUAUUGAGCAGACCCUCCAUCUGUAAAACACAUUUUGUCCAGUUUGCUAAAGCUCAGGCCAGGUCACUUGUACAGUCUAGAGAAUAACGGCCUUAACUGGCUACAAGAAGUAGGAAACAUGAAUGUAUACUUCAGCAACCCUGGGAACUUCGGCAGGAGUGGACUUUCAGAAAUUAGAAACCUAAAAACAUUCAA
rnacentral:lncRNA from 1 species